rnacentral:rRNA from 1 species
AUGAACGCUGGCGGCGUGCCUAAUACAUGCAAGUCGAGCGAACGGACGAGAAGCUUGCUUCUCUGAUGUUAGCGGCGGACGGGUGAGUAACACGUGGAUAACCUACCUAUAAGACUGGGAUAACUUCGGGAAACCGGAGCUAAUACCGGAUAAUAUUUUGAACCGCAUGGUUCAAAAGUGAAAGACGGUCUUGCUGUCACUUAUAGAUGGAUCCUCGCUGCAUUAGCUAGUUGGUAAGGUAACGGCUUACCAAGGCAACGAUGCAUAGCCGACCUGGGAGGGUGAUCGGCCACACUGGAACUGAGCCACGGUCCAGACUCCUACGGGAGGCAGCAGUAGGGAAUCUUCCGCAAUGGGCGAAAGCCUGACGGAGCAACGCCGCGUGAGUGAUGAAGGUCUUCGGAUCGUAAAACUCUGUUAUUAGGGAAGAACAUAUGUGUAAGUAACUGUGCACAUCUUGACGGUACCUAAUCAGAAAGCCACGGCUAACUACGUG